GGCUUGGUGGGAAAGAGCAUCGGUCUUCGGAACCGAGGAUAGAGGGUUCGAAGCCCUCCGGGA
rnacentral:tRNA from 1 species